rnacentral:misc_RNA from 1 species
GGCUACAAGAUCCAUCCUGUAAAUAUAGAUAUAUUUACAAUAUUUCUAACGUAUCAUCAUUCUCUCAUCCUUCCGUCCUUGACAUGGCGCAGUUGGUAGGACCAGAAAGAGGCGUUAGACCCAGCAAGAGGUAAAGGCAUCGAGGCGGACUAAAUUUCAAAAGAAUAAGAGGAAGAAAAGGAUAAGCUGCCUAUUAUUGAAGAAAUUUGAGGCAUACUUUCUACCAAAAGAAAAUCUUUCAUAUGAAAGAUAUAUUUUCUUCACAAUGAGACAGAAGGCGGAACAAUCCUUGGAACAAUUCGUGGUCGAACUGACAGAACAGAAGUGCAAAUUGGGAGAUCUUCAAAACAGCUUAAUCAAAUGUAUGAUCAUCUGCGGAGUUCAGAAUGUAGACAUGAGAGAGAAACUGUUACAGAAUGACUCGUUGAUGAUGGAGCUUCCUACUAAUAGCCAUACAACAACGCAAGAUCAUGGAGAAGACGAAAAUUCAAAGGAAGGAAAUGGAAGGAAUGAUAUGGCGACGACAGUAAAUGCGAUAAAAUUCAAAAAAAGGUUAGGGCAGAAACAGGUAGAGGGGGAUUAAAGGAUGUCUACCAGGAUCUUAUCACAUUAAAUUAAAAAAAAAUACGCAGCCAAUAAUACAUCUGACACGUAGAAUAGCUCUUUCGCUGUUACCAAGACUGAAAGAAUAUUUUAAAAAACUAUAAGAAAAGAUAAUUGAGAAGGUGAAUAAAGCAACAAAUUGGUAAAUGCUCUAGUUAUAACUCGUAAACCAAACGACAGUCUAAGAAUUUGUUUGGAUUUGAAAGAUUUAAAUAAUAACAUCAAGCGUAAACACUGUUUAAUACCAACGCUUGAAAAAAUCACUGUCAAAUUGGCAGGAGCUAAGGUCUUUAACACAUGCGACUCUAUACCACUAAACAAAAUUACUAUACAGUAUAAAGUCGACGCUGGAGGCUUUUAAGAAAGAUUUAGGCAAACUUUUGAAAAGUGUAAAGGAUGCGAGAUACACAUAGAUGACAUAAUCAUCUAUGGAAAGAAUAGAACGAAACAUGACGAGAGGUUAAGGGGAGUGCUGGAAACGGCAAAGGAAAAUAAAGUCAAAUUCAAUUUAAGUAUCAAGAAAUUGCAAACUCCAAAGGACAAGGAUGGCGUACAACGAGCGUAAUGCUAACAUAUGUGAGCAAAUUCAUACCAAAAUUUUCGUAUGAAAUUACAGCACUGAGAAACCUUUUAAAGGAAGAUGUAAUUUUUAUGCGGGGCCCAAAACAAAAGGCAUUAAAGUCUUUGAAAAAUAAAUUAAUAACUAAUCCCGUGUUGUAAUUCUUUGAUAUUAACAAGGACACAGUAAUUUCAGUACAUAGUUCUAUAGCAGGCGUGGGAGUUUUAUUACAAACAAUUUACCAUGUGCGUAUGCCUCCAAGGCAUUAACAAAAAUUCAACAGAGAUAUGUGCAAAUAGAAAAAGAAAUAGCAGCCAUAUGGUUCGGAUUAAGGCUCCUGACUACUCAGCCAAGAACUCUGCGUUGACGGUGGCGAUACAGAAUCAGACGGCGGUCUGGCGAAACCGGUAGCCACACACUUAAGCACGAGCCCGUGUGCUCGCCUGUGGCGCACCGAGAAUGAAUGAGACAGCGAGUUCCUUCUCACAUUAAUAACUUGUUUCAAGCGACCGAAAAUGCUUUCUCGGCAAUCUUGGCCGCUAGGCAUCAAUAAGGGGAGAGAGGCAUUCUAAUAUGUAAGUUUUAAUAAAUUAUAAUAAUAGUCCCUCUUUUUAAUCCAGAAUAAUAUAAAUCAUGU